AGAGUUUGAUCAUGGCUCAGGACGAACGCUGGCGGCGUGCUUAACACAUGCAAGUCGAACGGAAAGGCCCUUCGGGGUACUCGAGUGGCGAACGGGUGAGUAACACGUGGGUGAUCUGCCCUGCACUUUGGGAUAAGCCUGGGAAACUGGGUCUAAUACCGAAUAGGACCACGCGCUUCAUGGUGUGUGGUGGAAAGCUUUUGCGGUGUGGGAUGGGCCCGCGGCCUAUCAGCUUGUUGGUGGGGUAAUGGCCUACCAAGGCGACGACGGGUAGCCGGCCUGAGAGGGUGACCGGCCACACUGGGACUGAGAUACGGCCCAGACUCCUACGGGAGGCAGCAGUGGGGAAUAUUGCACAAUGGGCGCAAGCCUGAUGCAGCGACGCCGCGUGAGGGAUGACGGCCUUCGGGUUGUAAACCUCUUUCAAUAGGGACGAAGCGCAAGUGACGGUACCUAUAGAAGAAGCACCGGCCAACUACGUGCCAGCAGCCGCGGUAAUACGUAGGGUGCGAGCGUUGUCCGGAAUUACUGGGCGUAAAGAGCUCGUAGGUGGUUUGUCGCGUUGUUCGUGAAAACUCACAGCUUAACUGUGGGCGUGCGGGCGAUACGGGCAGACUGGAGUACUGCAGGGGAGACUGGAAUUCCUGGUGUAGCGGUGGAAUGCGCAGAUAUCAGGAGGAACACCGGUGGCGAAGGCGGGUCUCUGGGCAGUAACUGACGCUGAGGAGCGAAAGCGUGGGGAGCGAACAGGAUUAGAUACCCUGGUAGUCCAA
rnacentral:rRNA from 1 species